rnacentral:rRNA from 1 species
UACGGGGGGGGCAAGCGUUGUUCGGAAUUACUGGGCGUAAAGGGCUCGUAGGCGGCCAACUAAGUCAGACGUGAAAUCCCUCGGCUUAACCGGGGAACUGCGUCUGAUACUGGAUGGCUUGAGAUUGGGAGAGGGAUGCGGAAUUCCAGGUGUAGCGGUGAAAUGCGUAGAUAUCUGGAGGAACACCGGUGGCGAAGGCGACAUCCUGGACCAACACUGACGCUGAUGCGCGAAAGCAUGGGGAGCGAACAGG